UUCGAAGGGGGCUAGCGUUGCUCGGAAUCACUGGGCGUAACGCGCACGUCGGCGGAUUGUUAAGUCAGGGGUGAAAUCCUGGAGCUCAACUCCAGAACUGCCUUUGAUACUGGCGAUCUCGAGUCCGGGAGAGGUGAGUGGAACUGCGAGUGUAGAGGUGAAAUUCGUAGAUAUUCGCAAGAACACCAGUGGCGAAGGCGGCUCACUGGCCCGGUACUGACGCUGAGGUGCGAAAGCGUGGGGAGCAAACAGG
rnacentral:rRNA from 1 species